UCAGGAGCUGAUCUCACCCGCAACAAGCUGCCUUCAGAACCUUCUCACCAGAUUGAAUAGCCUUUCACAUAUUGCAGGCUGCUUCCUAAGCUAAACUAGUCAAGAUGAUGAUCAAAAUAGCUGUUGUUCUCUGUGCUAUUGUGGCAACCAGUAUGGUGUGCGCCAAGAAUUUUGAAGAGCAAGAAGAGCAAGAUGCAUUGGACGCUUUGCUGAAUCUGAUGCUCUCGGAGGAAGUUGCAUCUCCUGAUGCUGUGGCCUUGCAAGGCUCCCUCUCGGAGGAGGCUGCAUCUCCUGAUGACGCGGUAGCCUUGCAAGGCUUGAUCAGGCGAGCCCUCAAAUUUGGAGGUCGUGUAGUUCGUAAGAUAGCCCAUCGCCAUGAUCAUCCCCAUGAUCAGUGAAGAGGAUCUUAAAUCGAUAUGCGCUGGUGCACAAGCCCUUUUCCGAUAGACUCGGAAGGGACCAGGAGGCACUAUCCGGGACACUUGAUGUCGAUUCUCCCUCAACAAACAAUGAAAUAAAAGCAAGAAAUUGUCAACGUCCAUCGUUUUUUUGCAACUUCCUUAUAAUCAGAAUCUUCUUUAUAACUCCUUUAACCUUGUUACUCCUCUAAAAUAAAAGAUGUGAGUGGUUUUUAUUAUCAAUACAUAUUUUACCUUUACUUCCAUGGAUCCAUUCAUUAUACAUCUUUCCAAGGUGUAUACAAAUAUGUAGGGUUAAAAGUACAACUAUUCUUAAAAUAUAGCAUAAUAAUACAUCUUUUCAUCAUAAGCUUCAAGUUAAAAAUCUUCUCUCGGUUUUGCUCUUUUUUCGCCCUAAAAAACAAUAAGACAUUUUAAGCAUGGUAUUAGGGGAAUAACUAAUAGUAUUAGAAAUAAUGCCGAUAAUAAAAUCACAUGAACAUGACAAACA
rnacentral:lncRNA from 1 species